CCUACGGGGGGCAGCAGUAGGGAAUAUUGCUCAAUGGGGGAAACCCUGAAGCAGCAACGCCGCGUGGAGGAUGAAGGUUUUCGGAUUGUAAACUCCUUUUGUUAGAGAAGAUAAUGACGGUAUCUAACGAAUAAGCACCGGCUAACUCCGUGCCAGCAGCCGCGGUAAUACGGAGGGUGCAAGCGUUACGCGGAAUCACUGGGCGUAAAGAGCGAGUAGGCGGGAUAGCAAGUCAGAUGGUAAAUCCUAGGGCUUAACCAUAGAACUGCAUUUGAAACUGGUAUUCUAGAGUAUGGGAGAGGUAGGUGGAAUGCUUGGUGUAGGGGUAAAAUGCGUAGAGAGCAAGAGGAAUACUCAUUGCGAAGGCGACCUGCUAGAACAUAACUGACGCUGAUGCGCGAAAGCGUGGGGAGCAAACAGGAUUAGAUACCCCAGUAGUC
rnacentral:rRNA from 1 species